rnacentral:ncRNA from 1 species
UUGAUGGAGAGUUUGAUCCUGGCUCAGGACGAACGCUGGCGGCGUGCUUAACACAUGCAAGUCGAGCGGUAAGGCCCUUCGGGGUACACGAGCGGCGAACGGGUGAGUA